UACGGAGGGUGCAAGCGUUGCUCGGAAUUAUUGGGCGUAAAGGGUAGGUAGGUGGUCUCAUUUGUCUGGGGUGAAAGCCUUGGGCUUAACCUAAGAAGUGCCUCAGAAACGGUGAGACUAGAGUCCUAGAGAGGGUCGUGGAAUUCCCGGUGUAGCGGUGAAAUGCGUAGAGAUCGGGAGGAACACCAGAGGCGAAGGCGGCGACCUGGAUAGGAACUGACACUCAACUACGAAAGCGUGGGGAGCAAACAGG
rnacentral:rRNA from 1 species